GAAAUGCGAUAAGUAAUGUGAAUUGCAGAAUUCCGUGAAUCAUCGAAUCUUUGAACGCACAUUGCGCCCUCUGGUAUUCCGGGGGGCAUGUCUGUCCGAGCGUCAUUGCGAACCCCUCAAGCACGGCUUGUGUGAUGGGCCCUCCCGCGUCUUGGUCGUCAAGACGGGCCCGAAAAGCAGUGGCGGCUUCGCGGUUAUCCGAUCAGCCAGAGCGUAUGGGGACUUUCUCUCUGUCACGCCCGCGGCGCGGACCGACGCCUGUCGACCUUUAUUCAUCUUUUUCUCGGUUGACCUCGGAUCAGGUAGGGAUACCCGCUGAACUUAAGC
rnacentral:misc_RNA from 1 species